rnacentral:pre_miRNA from 1 species
AGGAAGAACAACAACAGUGUCAGCAGCCAGCUCUGGAGCCCUGGAUUCAGGUCCUGCAGUAACUACGGAGCUCUCAGUCUGCAGGGGCGUGGAUGCUCCGGGGGCGG